CCUACGGGUGGCAGCAGUGAGGAAUAUUGGUCAAUGGGCGAGAGCCUGAACCAGCCAAGUCGCGUGAGGGAGUACUGCCCUAUGGGUUGUAAACCUCUUUUGUCGGGGAGCAAAAGCCGGACGUGUCAGGCUGUGAGAGUACCCGAAGAAAAAGCAUCGGCUAACUCCGUGCCAGCCGCCUCGGUAAUACGGAGGAUGCGAGCGUUAUCCGGGUUUAUUGGGUUUAAAGGGUGCGCAGGCGGCAAUGCAAGCCAGGAGGGAAAACCCGGGGGCCAACCCCGGGACUGCUCUUGGAACUGCAUGGCUGGAGUACAGGAGGGGCAGGCGGAAUUCCUAGUGUAGCGGUGAAAUGCGUAGAUAUUAGGAGGAACACCGGUGGCGAAGGCGGCCUGCUGGACUGUGACUGACGUUGAGGCCCGAAGGCGUGGGGAGCAAACAGGAUUAGAUACACCAGUAGUC
rnacentral:rRNA from 1 species